rnacentral:lncRNA from 1 species
UAAAUUUAUCCAAGUAAUUGUGAAGUUCUCACCUCUCAAAAGGAUACAUCCAACGAUAGUGAACUGGACCACACGUACCACCAAAUGUAUCAUGAUAUCAAAAAAAUGCAGGAGGAAAGAAUCUUUCAAGACUGCAUAAGAUUUCAACUAAUUCAUCUUCUAAUAUCGCUAUUUUCUCCCUAUCAACAACUCAUUGGCAUAAUCUAUUGAAGAAUGUACAUAGUCUAAAAAUUGCAUGUCUUGGUCCUUUUGGAAGUAAUCCUUUUAAUGCUACAGCCAAAAGUUGUUGCAAAAGGACAUGACAAUCGUGUGACUUGAGGCCAAUAAUUUUGUAUUCAUCUAUUGAUAUACAAGUGGCUACAUUUGAACUGUACCCAUAAGGUAAUUUCAAGUUAAACAACAUCUUAUAAAAUGUCUGUUUUUCCAACCUUGACAACGUAUGUGGAGCAGGAGGAAGGUGUAUUCUAUUACCUCGUUCCUCUGGAUGUAACUCCUUCCUAAUUCCCAUGUCUUGUAAAUCCCGACGAGCAUUUAAUCCAUUUUUUGUUUUACCAUUUAUGUCUAAUAAUGUACCAACAAUGCUUUCACAUAUAUUUUUCUCAAUGUGCUUUACAUCCAAAUUUUGACGUAACGAUGGCACCUAAUAAUAUAAUAAAGCAAAAAGAUUUUGUUAGUUUCAUACAAAAAGUAUAUUCAAAUAAUUGAAAGACAUUGAAUAGGAGUUGGAGAAUGCCAAAAUCUUACCUCCCAAUAUGAUAAGUUAAAAAAGAUUGAUCUCUUUUUCCAUGUUAGCAUGCUUCCAUCAUCUGUCUUUCUUUUUCGUUUCUGAGCUUUCCCAAAAUUUUUGACAUAAUCUUUGAGAGUAACUAGAAUGUUACCACUGGACAUAAUUUUAGGUUUGCUUCCCUUUUCUUCAUGUCCAUCAAACCAAGAUUUCUUUUUCCUUAACGGAUGAGAUGGUGACAAAAACCUCUUAUGACCCUUGUAUGCAAAUUUUCUACUGAAUUUUAACCACUAUGAGUGAGUAUUCUCAGAACAUAUAGGGCAACCUAUCCUACCCAUAAUUUUACAUCCCACUAAAUUUUCAAGAGCUGGUAAAUCAUUAAUAGUCCACAUAAGUAUUGUUCUCAAAUUGAAGACUGCAUUAGUGCGUGCAUCAUAAACAUUCACCCCCAAUAUUCCACAAUUCGUUCAAGUCAUCUAUAAGUGGUUGCAAAUAUAUAUCAAUAUCAUUCCCAGGUUGUUUAGGCCUUGGAAUUAACAAUGACAACAUGAUAUUUUCUUUUUUCAUACAUAACCAUGGUGGUAGAUUAUAAAUGACCAACAUUAUUGGCCAACAACUAUAUGUAGAGCUAAAAUUGUUGAAUGGAUUGAAACCAUCCGUAGCAAGCACAAGCUUAAGAUUGCGUGGAUUAUUUGCAAACUUUGGCCACUUUUUGUCAAUUAAAGCCCAAGAUGGAGAAUCCACUAAAUGACGCAUUUUACCAUCAACACUCAGAUUGGUCGAAUGCCUUAUUAAUGAUUCAGCCAUCUUCGGUGUACUAAACAUCCUCUGGAAUCUAGGUUUUAUAGGAAAGUAUCUUAAGACUUUAGCAGGUUCACCAUUUUUACUCUUUUGUGUCUGCUUAUCGACCUUCCAUCUCGAAGAACCACAUUUUGGAUAACUAUCUAGUUUCUUUUUAUCGUUUUUAAACAAACAGCAAUCAUUGACACAUGCAUGAAUCUUCUCAUAUCCUAAAUUAAAUGUCUUUAGAAAUUUUCUUACAGAUAGUGUGGAUAUAGGAAUUACAUUACCUUCAGGUAACAUAUCAUGUAAUAUGUUUAGAAGUUCUAUAAAGCUAUUAUCUGACCAACCACUAAUAGUUUUAAGCUUAUAUAAGGUCACAAUUGAAGAUAGCUUU